AUUAACUGUAGAUUAAAUUCAUCCACGAAACAAACCAUGCAGGGAUUAAAGAAGAAUUCUUUAAGUGCCUGGCUCAUGCAUCCAAAAAAUAAAGUUAUGGAUGCCUCUUUAGGCUCCUCUGACAACGCUGACAAGAGAGAUAACUCAGUUGAACUGACAUCAGGAGCCUAUGAUGAUACCAUCUAUGAAAGUAAAAUAGAACAGUUCUUCUUGAUGGUGGGAAUGAAGAUGUUAACUUCCGUGAAAGUGUUAGUCACUUGUGUCCAACCCUUUGUGACCCUGUGGACUUGCCAGUCUCCCCUGUCCAUGGAACUCUCCAGGCAAGAAUACUGGUGUGGGUCGCCAUUCCCUUCUCCAAGGGAUCUUCUCAACUCAACCAUCAAACCUUGGUCUCCCACAUUGUGGGCAGAGUCUUUCCCAUCUGAGCCAUCAGGGAAGCCCAUAACUUUGGUAAUCCAUAGGAAUAAGUCAGUGUGA
rnacentral:lncRNA from 1 species